AGUCGUGACUUAUAUAUAUAAACCCUGUUGCUCAAUCGACAACUUUGCCACUCAUGUGCCAGUCGAGCGACAGCUUUUGUGAGAAAAUAUGCAGGCGCUGCUUGAGCAGCCAACUAACGGUAGGCUAGCGAAAAUACGAUGACUUUUCUCCUCGGUCCAUAAUUUUGAUCUUUUCAAUACCAUUUUAACAAAAACCCCAACACCCACUAGAACUUAGGUCAAAUUACAAUAGUUUUACGAACAAAACAAUCUCUA
rnacentral:lncRNA from 1 species